GGCUUUGUGCAAUGGCAGUCUCGCAGCCAAUGCGGUUUACCCGAGAUGUGAUUAUUGCUAAUUGAAAACUUUUCUCCAUACCCCACCAUGAUGACUUGGAAUAUAGUUGGCAUUGGCAAUUUUUGACAGUCUCUAUAGAC
rnacentral:snRNA from 1 species